GGGCUUGUAGCUCAGUUGGUUAGAGCGCACGCUUGAUAAGCGUGAGGUCGCAAGUUCAAGUCUCGCCAGGCCCACCA
rnacentral:tRNA from 1 species